AUUGAACGCUGGCGGCAGGCCUAACACAUGCACGUCGAGCGGAGCGGCGGACGGGUGAGUAAUAUAUGGGGAUCUGCCCGAUAGAGGGGGAUAACUAAUGGAAACGGUGGCUAAUACCGCAUACUAUCGGAUGAACCCAUAUGGGAUGAGCUAGUUGGUGGGGUAAAGGCAUACCACGGCGACGAUCCGUAACUGGUCUGAGAGGAUGAUAAGUCACACUGGAACUGAGACACGGUCCAGACUCCUACGGGAGGCAGCAGUGGGGAAUAUUGGACAAUGGGCGAAAGCCUGAGCCAGCCAUGCCGCGUGUGGUAAGAAGGUCUUCGGAUUGUAAAGCACUUUAAGUUGGGAGGCGUGACCAACAGAAUAAGCACCUGCUAACUUCGUGCCAGCAGCCGCGGUAAUUC
rnacentral:rRNA from 1 species